ensembl:misc_RNA Metazoa_SRP Metazoan signal recognition particle RNA
GCCCAGCACGGUGGCACGUGCCUGUAGUCCCAGCUACUCAGGAGGCUGAGAUGGGAGGAUCGCUUGAGCCCAGGAGUUCUGGGCUGUAGUGCGCUAUGCCGAUUGGGUGUCCGCACUAAGUUCAGCAUCAAUAUGGUGACUUCCCAGGAGCGGGGGACCACCAGGUUGCCUAAGGAGGGGUGAACUGGCCCAGGUCAGAAACGGAGCAGGUCAAAACUCCCAUGCUGAUCAGUAGUGGGAUCGUGCCUGUGAAUAGCCACUGCACUCCAGCCUGGGCAACAUAGUGAGACCCUGUCUCUA